rnacentral:rRNA from 1 species
CCUACGGGUGGCAGCAGUGGGGAAUAUUGCUCAAUGGGGGAAACCCUGAAGCAGCGACGCCGCGUGAAGGAUGAAGGAUCUAGGGUUGUUAAACCCUUUUUUUAGGGAAGAUAAUGACGGUACCUGACGAAUAAGCUCCGGCUAACUCCGUGCCAGCAGCCGCGGUUAUACGGAGGGUGCGAGCGUUAUACGGAUUUACUGGGCGUAAAGGGGGCGUAGGCGGGGUAAUAAGUCAGAGGUGAAAUCCUGUGGCUUAACUACAGAACUGCCGUUGAAACUGUUUGACUGGAGUGUAGGAGAGGUAGGCGGAAUUCGUGGUGUAGCGGUGAAAUGCGUAGAUAUCACGAAGAACACCGAUUGCGAAGGCAGCUUACUGGACUAUAACUGACGCUGAGGCACGAAAGCGUGGGGAGCAAACAGGAUUAGAUACCCCUGUAGUC